rnacentral:rRNA from 1 species
GAUAAACGCUGGCGGCGUGCUUUACCAAUGCGAGUCGAACGGGCGCUGCGUGCCAGCAAUGGGGCGUGGGCGUCAGUGGCGUCCGGGUGCGUAACACGUGGGUGACCUGCCUGUGCGUGGGGGAUACCCGCCCGAAAGGGUGGCUAAUACCGCGUGCGCUCUUGUCUGUUUGGGAGAAGAGGAAAGCUGCCGGUUGCAAGACCGGUGGCGCGCGCAGAGGGGCCUGCGGCCAUCAGCUUGCCGGUGGGGUAACGGCCUACCGGGGCGACGACGGGUAGCCGGUCUGAGGGGACGAACGGCCACAGUGGGACUGGGAGAUGGUCCACAGCUCUACGGGGUUUAGCAUGGAGGAAUCUUGCGCAACGGCCGGUGGGCCGGCGCAGCAACGCCGCGUGGGGGACGACGCCUUUCGGGUGUAACCCUAGUUGCUCGGGAAGAAGUACUCGUGGGGAGAGCCUGCGAGGAAGACGGUACCGGGCGAGGAAGCCCGGC